GACGAACGCUGGCGGCGUGCUUAACACAUGCAAGUCGAACGGAAAGGCCCUGCUUGCAGGGUACUCGAGUGGCGAACGGGUGAGUAACACGUGGGUGAUCUGCCCUGCACUUCGGGAUAAGCCUGGGAAACUGGGUCUAAUACCGGAUAUGACCUUCCAUGUAGUGUGGGGGGUGGAAAGAUUUAUCGGUGUGGGUUGAGCCCGCGGCCUAUCAGCUUGUUGGUGGGGUAAUGGCCUACCAAGGCGUCGACGGGUAGCCGGCCUGAGAGGGUGGACGGCCACAUUGGGACUGAGAUACGGCCCAGACUCAUACGGGAGGCAGCAGUGGGGAAUAUUGCACAAUGGGCGGAAGCCUGAUGCAGCGACGCCGCGUGGGGGAUGACGGCCUUCGGGUUGUAAACCUCUUUCGACAGGGACGAAGCUUCGGUGACGGUACCUGUAUAAGAAGCACCGGCUAACUACGUG
rnacentral:rRNA from 1 species